rnacentral:lncRNA from 1 species
CACAGUACAUGGUUCCUGGCACUCAGAAGGCAUCCCUGAUCACAGGUGCUUACGCAGGGAGGGGCCUGUGUCGCGAGUGGGUGUGGGGGCCUGGCUGGGAGCUGGGCCGGCCACCUCGGCCGUCAUCAAUGAUGUGCGCUGGCGGACCUGAGUCUGCAUUUCCAGAAACAUCGAGUUGCCUGUGGUAAAGCAGGGAGCCCUCUGACGAAGAAACAGCAGCUCCUGAGUGCUCUGGCAGCCAUGGAGUCUCCUAUACAGUCCAAGAUGCUGCCUCCAUGGCCUCGGCUGGUCCCGGGGGUGAGGAAUGCCACAGGCUGUUACUCCAUUCCCCAAGCCUAACGUUCAGGCUCUGCAGCUGCAAGUCACUGGGGCCACUUCCCCAAAUCCCAGACACCCAGGAGUCCUAUGUGGCAGGCACUCCUUGUUUUAAAUUCUGGGAACAUCGGCUGUCGCCAUACAUUUAAUAUAGUGAUUAAAUAACAGGAGGACCUGAAGUAUCUUGGAAGGAAAACCUUCAUUGUUUGCAGGAACAGGCGAUCCUCUGAAAAUGCCUAUUCACAAAUGCACUUUAUUAAAAAACACAAACACACAUGCAGACUGAAAACGAGAGAACCACGGCCCCUGCUACAGCGAACACUGCCACGGAAUGGUGUCUGCGGAAGACCAAUAUCAUAAGGUGGAAAAAUAAAGGAAAUAAAAGAGCAAAUAAGAGGAAACGACAGCUCUCCUAAAAGCUGAUUUCAUGCCAUGUAUCUCUGGUAUAAUGGCGCGUGUUAGAGCUAAAAUUGAGGGCUUCAAAAACUGUUACCUGAGUUCUGAGUUUAAUCAUAUCGGCUUCCAUCUGGGAAUUGGAUUCAUUUAGCUCCUUGAUUUCUUCAUCUAACUGUUUGAUUUCUUCAUCAUUUUCUAUACCUGUAAUAAUGAAUAUUAGUAUGUUAAAACUGUUAUAUACAAAAAUAUUAGAGUUAGAAUUUUGGGAGCUUUCUUUGUUCCUUUUAUAUUCGUAAUUGAAUUUGCUUGGAAAAUAGACUCUUGAAUUAGAAAGGAAAAAAUCAUCACAAUCUCUGUGUCUUUCUAUUCCCUACCACCGCCCCUUCCCCACCUAAGUUCCCCUACAAAAAGGAACAAACAAUUGAGACGCACAGAAGACUCCCAGGCACUUUGAGGGUCGAGCUCCCAGGGACAGUUAACCUGGGUCUUAGAUGUAUCGAGGCAGAAACCACCUGGUCCUGAGUGCCGAUUUGCUGAGCCUGGCCUGUUUUCUCCUGCUUUUGUUCUCUCUCUCGACUCGCUGUCUGCAUCAGUCAUUCUGCAAACACCCCAGGCUUGGAGCCAGGCUCUGCAGGUACGUUCACCAACAAGGCCAGGUCCUCCCGCCCUCACUCAGGUCAGGUUCUGGGUCGGAAAAUGGGCAACAGACGUGUAACGACAAAUGCCGUCCAGCAAACGCUGAGGAUGACCUCACCUUACCCACCGACAGGAAGCUGUGGGAAGUGGGAGAGGGACAUGGGGGCUGGCCGGAGGGAGAUGGCCACAAAAGGGCUCUCUGAAUAUUCGACAUUUAGCAAAUAAAAAAUCUCAUUCUGAAUGAUUAAAAAGUAUGCACUAACUAACAGAAUUCCCAAUUUGUAAACUCUGCCAGAAUGAUGACCUCGGCCAGGUGUGUACCUGACCAUCUGAGUGUCCCUGGUGGGUGACUGCUGCCCUGCCG